UACGGAGGGUGCAAGCGUUAAUCGGAAUUACUGGGCGUAAAGCGUGCGUAGGCGGUUCGUUAAGUCUGUUGUGAAAGCCCCGGGCUCAACCGUGGGAAUGGCAAUGGAUACUGGCGAGCUAGAGUGUGUCAGAGGAUGGUGGAAUUCCCGGUGUAGCGGUGAAAUGCGUAGAGAAUCGGGAGGAACAUCAGUGGCGAAGGCGGCC
rnacentral:rRNA from 1 species